rnacentral:rRNA from 1 species
AACAAGGAUUCCCCUAGUAACGGCGAGUGAAGCGGGAAGAGCUCAAAUUUAAAAUCUGGCGGUCACACCGUCCGAGUUGUAGUCUAGAGAAGCAUCAUCUACGCUGGACCAUGUACAAGUCUCUUGGAACAGAGCGUCAUAGAGGGUGAGAAUCCCGUCCUUGACAUGGACUCCCAGUGUUCUGUGUUGUGCUCUCAACGAGUCGAGUUGUUUGGGAAUGCAGCUCAAAAUGGGUGGUAAAUUCCAUCUAAAGCUAAAUAUUGGCGAGAGACCGAUAGCGAACAAGUACCGUGAGGGAAAGAUGAAAAGCACUUUGGAGAGAGAGUUAAACAGUACGUGAAAUUGUUAAAAGGGAAAC